UGUUAAAAUGAAAUUCCUUUUGAGCAUCUUUGUAAUUGCUGUGGGCAUUUUUGGUCCUUGGGAUACUGUCCAAGGGCUUAUUUGCCAUACUAAUACCCACUUACUGAACGAUCCUAGUAAAAUCGGUGAUCAGGGUGAUCAUGUGAGGAAUUGCACCGAAUUUAUGGUACCACGUGAUGAAUUGGCCUGUAUCAAGUUGGACUACGCAGAACGAAAUUUCAAUGAAUCAACGGUGAUAAAAGCGUGCAGUUUUAGAGGUGCUUGCGGUAUGAUGAGAUCCCUUGUUGAGCAUACUAAAAUUGGCACAAUCAAGAUGUGUUUUAUUUGCCGGGAAAAUUUGUGCAAUUCCUAGGCGGUGGUCAAAAACAACACACAAAACGCGAAUUACUUAAAUUCUUAGCAUUGUGAUUCAUUGGGUAAUUUUAAGAUAAUGGGACGCAGCGCAGGUAAUUGGCAAGUUAACAUACAGCGCCGUGUAGGACAUCGCUUUGUGGGGAUUUAUUUUUGUAGAAAUAUUGCGAAAUUGAUAAAUAAAAUUGAAAAUAUAACAGAC